rnacentral:rRNA from 1 species
UUUGAAGGGCCGCAGUAUUUUGACUGUGCAAAGGUAGCAUAAUCAUUAGUCUUUUAAUUAAAGGCUGGUAUGAAUGGUUGGACGAGGUGAAAUCUGUUUUAUAUUAAUUGAAAUUGAAUUUAGAUUUUAAGUAAAAAGACUUAAAUAUUAUUAAGGGACGAGAAGACCCUAUAGAGUUUAAUAUAUAUAAUAAUUAAUUAAGUUAAAAGGAGAAAUAUUUUGGUUUUUAUGAAAUUUAUUUAAUUGGGGUGAUUAGAAGAUAUAAAAAACUCUUCUUUAAAUUGAAUAAUUUAAUUAGCUGAAUGAUCCAUAUUUGAUGAUUAAAAGAUUAAAUUACCUUAGGGAUAACAGCAUAAUUUUUUUUGAGAGUUCAUAUCGAAAAAAAAGAUUAUGACCUCGAUGUUGGAUUAAGAUUAGUUAUGGGUGUAGAUGUUCAAUAACUAGGUCUGUUCGACCUUAAAAAUCUUACAUG